rnacentral:tRNA from 1 species
GGAGGGUUGCGCCGAAUGGUAAGGCAGCGGCUUGCUAAGCCGCGACGGUUUAAACAGCCGUCUGUGGGUUCGACUCCCACACCCUCCG